rnacentral:rRNA from 1 species
GACGAACGCUGGCGGCGUGCCUAAUACAUGCAAGUAGAACGCUGAAGAGAGGAGCUUGCUCUUCUUGGAUGAGUUGCGAACGGGUGAGUAACGCGUAGGUAACCUGCCUUGUAGCGGGGGAUAACUAUUGGAAACGAUAGCUAAUACCGCAUAACAAUGGAUGACACAUGUCAUUUAUUUGAAAGGGGCAAUUGCUCCACUACAAGAUGGACCUGCGUUGUAUUAGCUAGUAGGUGAGGUAAUGGCUCACCUAGGCGACGAUACAUAGCCGACCUGAGAGGGUGAUCGGCCACACUGGGACUGAGACACGGCGCAGACUCCUACGGGAGGCAGCAGUAGGGAGUCUUCGGCAAUGGGUGCAACCCUGACCGAGCAACGCCGCGUGAGUGAAGAAGGUUUUCGGAUCGUAAAGCUCUGUUGUAAGUCAAGAACGGGUGUGAGAGUGGAAAGUUCACACUAUGACGGUAGCUUACCAGAAAGGGACGGCUAACUACGUG